ACAGCUCAAAUUUGAAAUCUGGUCCCCUCUGGGGGCCCGAGUUGUAAUUUGAAGAGGAUGCUUUUGGCGAGGCGCCUUCCGAGUGCCCUGGAACGGGACGCCACAGAGGGUGAGAGCCCCGUAUGGUCGGACGCCGAGCCUAUGUAAAGCUCCUUCUACGAGUCGAGUAGUUUGGGAAUGCUGCUCAAAAUGGGAGGUAAACCCCUUCUAAAGCUAAAUACCGGCCAGAGACCGAUAGCGCACAAGUAGAGUGAUCGAAAGAUGAAAAGCACUUUGAAAAGAGAGUUAAACAGCACGUGAAAUUGUUGAAAGGGAAGCGCUUGCGACCAGACUUGCGCCCGUCGGAUCAACCGUCCCUCGUGGGCGGCGCACUCCGGCGGGCUCAGGCCAGCAUCAGUUUUCCGGGGGGGAGAAAGCCGGUCGGAAUGUAGCUCUUCGGAGUGUUAUAGCCUUCCGGGUAAUACCCCCUGGGGGACUGAGGACCGCGCUUUAUGCAAGGAUGCUGGCGUAAUGGUCGUCAGCGACCCGUCUUGAAACACGGACCAAGGAGUCGUCCUAAUAUGCGAGUGUACGGGUGUAAAACCCCUGCGCGUAAUGAAAGUGAACGGAGGUGAGAGCUUCGGCGCAUCAUCGACCGAUCCUGAUGUUCUCGGAUGGAUUUGAGUAAGAGCAUAUUGGGCCGGACCCGAAAGAAGGUGAACUAUGCCUGUAUAGGGUAAAGCCAGAGGAAACUCUGGUGGAGGCUCGCAGCGGUUUAAACGUGCAGGUCGAUCGUC
rnacentral:rRNA from 1 species